GGAUUAGAUACCCUGGUAGUCCUAGCUGUAAACGAUGGAUACUAGACGUAGGAAUUGGAUUAACGAUUUCUGUGUCGUAGCUAACGCAUUAAGUGCCCCGCCUGGGGAGUACGGCCGCAAGGCUAAAACUCAAAGGAAUUGACGGGGGCCCGCACAAGCGGCGGAGCAUGUUGCUUAAUUCGAUGAUACCCGUAGAACCUUACCUGGACUUGACAUAUAGGGUCUAGCUAUAGAGAUAUAGUGUGCAUUAGCGCCCUAUAUAGGUGGUGCAUGGCUGUCGUCAGCUCGUGCCG
rnacentral:rRNA from 1 species